ACCGCCAGCAAUAAGCCUGUAGAGGAGCAAAGUCCGUAUCAGUGCGCUCGGGGUGAGUCUGACCAGCUCGUCCCAUACUGCCAUGCUUACUGCAGUGCUCUUCCUACAGUACCAUCCUUCGUAAUCUAUACUCCUCAGUGAAUUCAUGCCUUAUGUUUAUCACAAAAGCCCAGUCAGGAAUAGCAGCAGAAGAAAACGUUGUAGAAGUCUGCUCAAAACCAAGAAUAACAUGUUAAAGAUCCACUGUAGACUCACUGCCUGCGUGACAUAAGGAUUCGUGAUGUGCGUGUAGCUGACCUGUGAGGGUUCAGCUGACCUGUGAGGGUUCAGCUGGAUAUAACCUUGUGAUCUUCUUAAAAAUAUCUUGUCUUUAUCAUAAGAUAUAAGACGCAAAUUAUUAUUCAGAUUCUUUGCCAACCGCAGAUUUAAAAUCUCUGGGUAUUUCUCAUGUCUGAUCCUCUCAGGGCUGUGAUGUUGAUGCUGCCAGGGAGGACUGCAGAGGUUUUCUACGAAAUCAGUUUUUCCUGUCUGGAUUGUGGCAAACUGCAGCCAAAGAUCAUCACCGCUGUCUGGAACUGGUCUGCUGCAGAAGAAUCGGAGCAGCGUGAUGUGGAGCUGUCAUCCCUGUGCGAUAGAUUGCAAAAUGGGUUAGUCCUCCCUUUCUUACCUCUGCUCCUGGAUAUCGCUCUCAUUUCACUUACUUAGGCAUUGUCACCGCUGCUGGUAUAUCCGAAGCAAGCCAGUGCAGGAAGAAAUGGAAGGAGCUCUCUCCAACACAGCACAGCCACCUGGAAG
rnacentral:lncRNA from 1 species